AACAGGUUCACAUGAAGACUGUGUAAUUUGUUGUUUUAUUGUUUUAUUCUCCUGAAAAAUUAUUUGCAGGACCCAAAUGUUUAUCUGGAUGUGAGGGCUUCUUAUAAUGUUGUAAUGGAAUAAUAGUGAUCUGACACAUUACACAAACCAUGUGACCCUGUAUGAACCUCACCUGCUGAGCUGAUGGUUGUGUAGUGGUCAGUUGCAGACCUUCAUGGCCCUGUGCAGUGUGGGGGUGAUGUGGUGAUGUGUUGGUCUCUUCCUACAAGAUGAGUGGCAGAAUGUGAGCAGUUAAGGCUGUUCCAUACCCCACAAGAACAAAAAACAUUCUUCUGACAUCAUUUUGUUCUCGGAGCGCUUGUUCGGCAGCUCUUGUUCUCGAGGCAUCGUCCAUACAAGAACGUUCUUGUUCGCACCAGCUUGUGAGCAAGAAGAAGGUUCUUUGUUCUCGUGGAGUAUGGAAGAAGCUUUAGGCUGGCUGUGGUGGAUGUUCAUCCCUCUGAAGGUCCUCCUCUGCUCUGCUCCUCAGGCUCGGCUUGAAAUGGUGGAGAAGCGCUCGGUGGCCGCUCUGGCUCACAUGACGAGGCUACAGCAGCAGAGUCGACCAGCUUCUGCUGAUGGAGCGGACCUCCUCAGGAUCCAUCCAAAGAAAGAACCAACAACACAAAAGGAAGGUGGAGAGCUCUUUGAAAUGAUGGUAAAUAUGUUCAGCAGUUAUUCUUUCUGUGUUUCUCUGGGUGAGUUAAACAUUUAUGUUGCCUCACAUGGAUCUUUC
ensembl:lncRNA